GAUGAAGAACGUAGUGAAAUGCGAUAAGUAAUGUGAAUUGCAGAAUUCAGUGAAUCAUCGAAUCUUUGAACGCACAUUGCGCCCCUUGGUAUUCCGAGGGGCAUGCCUGUUCGAGCGUCAUUAUAACCCCUCAAGCUCAGCUUGGUGUUGGGGCCUGCCGCACGGGCAGCCCUUAAAAUCAGUGGCGGUGCCAUCUGGCUCUAAGCGUAGUAAUUCUUCUCGCUAUAGAGUCCCGUUGGAUGCUUGCCAUUAACCCCCAAUUUUCUAUGGUUGACCUCGGAUCAGGUAGGGAUACCCGCUGAACUUAAGCAUAUCAAUAAGCGGAGGA
rnacentral:misc_RNA from 1 species